rnacentral:lncRNA from 1 species
UCUACUUUAUCAAAUGAGAGGAACAGCUGUACAAAAGUCAGCUGUUGAUCUGUAUACUACUUUUUGACAUUGGUACCAAAUAGAGCUGCACGACAUGAUAAAAACAAUCAUGUUGAGGCUAUUUUACAACUGCAGUGUGAACUAUGAUUAGUGGGGAUCAUCAUUUUUGGAACACAAUCUUCAUUUUCACAGAAAAAAACUAUUAAAAUCGUGAUGAUGUGACAUUUGUUGUUGUCUCCAUACCAAACAUGUUUUCUUAACAUCUAAUCAGCAGAAUUAGUAGGCCAGGGCAUCCCCUUGUGGCACUGCAGUACUUCAUUGUAAUGAUGUUUUGUCACACAAAACAUUUUACAUUUAUCAAAAAAGUCAAAGGUUGGGCCAGAGUUGCCCCACUGAGCUGCAUACUCGUGACUCAGAAGAGAGAGAAGAAACCAAAGCAUGAGGAGGUGGACAACCUGCCCCCCUUGUCCAUUUACCCACAAGUCCUUAAUGCAGACUGUUCAGCCAGCGCUGCAGAGCACCGCUUUGAGUCUCAUGUGGGCCCACGUAACAGCUUUAAGAAAUCCAUGCCAGUAAACCAGUACACGGAAUGGUGGAGUAACACUGCUGUGGCAAGUCUGCGGGAAGAUGCCUCAGAGUCGUCCGUCCUCACUGCAAUGCAAAAGGUCAUGUCAAAUCUCGUACUGGAAGAGAAGACAGAGGUGGAAGGAAGGCUCAGAGUGUCCCCUGUGCAGAACAGGCCAACUAAGCACCAGAAGCCCAACCAUAGGCCUCAUAAUGCAGUGCUCCCCAUUAAAAACUUCACAUUCUUACCACCGAUUGCAUCACUACAUCUGAAUCCUCAGAGAGUCGGUGGCAAGAGGGCUGCAGAGGGAGAAACCAUGGAUGAGAACUGUUUCAUAUUUGAUCUGAAGGGUGGGGCAAGAGGAACAAGAACGGAACCCGUCGCUAACCUGACCUCCAAGUACCGGACAUGUCAGCAUGACCCCCACUUGUUCUCUGCUGCAAGUAUGUCACUCCACAAGAGGUGUCAAGUACCUGUGUCUUCCAGACGUGACACGGCACACCACACUAGCUUCUCGAUGGGCAGGAGUCUCAAACACCCGGGCACCGCAGCGGGUGCACAAGUCCAUCUGCGCCCAAGUAAGACUGUGUGUGCUGUCAAGAUGUAUGAUGGCUGUGAAAUAAAUGUUUAA